rnacentral:rRNA from 1 species
UACGAAGGGGGCUAGCGUUGUUCGGAAUCACUGGGCGUAAAGGGCGUGUAGGCGGUCAGGUAAGUGGGAUGUGAAAUCCCUCGGCUCACCCGAGGACCUGCAUCCCAAACUGCUUGGCUUGAGUAUGGGAGAGGAUGAGGGAAUUCCUGGUGUAGCGGUGAAAUGCGUAGAUAUCAGGAGGAACACCGGUGGCGAAAGCGCUCAUCUGGCCCAAUACUGACGCUGAGGCGCGAAAGCUAGGGGAGCAAACGGG